rnacentral:lncRNA from 1 species
GCUCCUGUCCAUCCUGCCCCCCACAAUACGUUCUCGGUGACUAUCCCCACCUGUGAGGGGGGGUGUGUGCUUGCAUGUGUGCUGUUUGGGGUGUACAACUGCACGAAGGGGUGCUCUGCUGGGCUUAUAGUCAAGCACUGAGCUGCACAGAGGAAGGCACAUAGUCCCUUUGGGAGGAAGGCUGGGGGGCUUCCUGGAGGUGGCAGCCUGAAACUCUGCUUAUGAGGACGUGGGAUUCUGAUAGCAAUCUAGGUAGUGGGCAAAGGCACUGCCUGGACCCAAGGAUGGCUAUGAGCAGAGCCCCGAAGGCUCACAGUGGGCUGGAGCAGAGGCAAGGGUGUGGGCAGCUGGAGGGAGGCUGGGCUUGUGGCUGGGUCAGGGCUGAGGUGGGCUGCGUGUUGUGCCAGGGCCUUUGGACCCCAUCCUAUUGGCUGCAGCAUCAAUCCUGGGGCACUGUUUCUCCCUGAG